CAAAUACAGGUUAGGCUUCCAUAUAGCAGCUAAAAUUGUAUCAACAAAUACCUAGGGAAUAAAUCAACAUCUAGCUAGCCAGUUAAAAUCGUGCUCUCUUGGUUGUAAAAAGAAUAAAAUUGAUCGCUUAUGGGAGGAAACAUCUUACUCUCGUCUUCAUCCAUCAUCCACAACGAGACAGGGCAAUAAUCCCGCACAGGAGAAGCCAUUGUUUGACUGGAGAAGUUGCAGCCUCCUUCGCCGUAACCGUCAUACACAGGUUGAAUAGCAUCACUGUCAGAAAACUCAAUAUCUUUCCAUAUUUCGUCCAUGGAAUACACCUUCUGCAACCUUUCUUCCUCUGCUUGACCAGUCUUGUUUCCCUUGGCAGUGAGCAUUUCAAGACCUCCAGUGUCAUAAAAGCUUCGCUCCUUUGUCUCAGUGAUUGGCCCAGAUUCCAUACUUGGGCUGUUACCGUUGGAUAUUGAGGAGGAACAGUUGGAGAAUGAUGGUGAGGAUGAUGAUGAUGAUGAUGAGGGAGAUAUGGCAGCCUUUUUCCUCUCUUGAGCCUUCUUCCUCAUAUGGGUUCUCCAGUAAUUCUUGAUCUCGUUAUCAGUCCUCCCAGGUAAUUUACGGGCAAUCCUUGACCAUCUGCGAAUGAUUUAUCCAUGUGUUACAUUGAAAUAACUGGGAUGACAACCCAAUAACAAAAAAUAGAAUCCAAAUAGAAGUAAGAUUAUGUCGUUAUGUUGUCAAAUAACAUUAAAUUAACCAAUAAUCGCCAACCUAUUUCCCCACUUGGAGUGAAGCUCAAGGACAAGGCGCUCUUCAUGAGGAGUCAUCUUGCCUCGUUUCAGACCAGGGUGCAGGUAAUUAACCCAACGUAACCUGCAACUUUUACCUGUUCUUUUCAAACCUACAACAAAGUACGUGGUUAAACUUUGCUCCUUGCAAUUACCAUGCCAUGCCCAAAAUAAGCAUACCUAUUUUAUUUGUCUCCCUCCACCCAAACCUGAAACCUUAGAGAUGAAAUCCCAUCGGCGAUCACCGUACACGUUCACACAUAAAACCAGUUGGACAUCUUCUUGUUCUGUCCAAGGGCCCUUUCUGAUUUCCUCUUGCACCAUUUCCAGAGUUCCGUUUCCUUUUCUGCCUUCACUUCUUUUGAUUAACUCCUUGAGUUGCUUGCCUGCUCACUGGUACAAGGAACUUGUGUGCACGCUAGUGAUAUUUAUACUGGCCACUUUUCCUUGUAGGCAAGCUACGUGAUUUAUUUUUAAUUCUGUGAUUCCAUCCUCACCGUCCGUGCUGUGGCUUGCGUAUGCUGAUUAGGUGAUCGCGUUGAUGGGAACGCAUUGCAUAUGAUGAAAGCCAUUAUCAACAAUUUCUAGAUAAGAAGUUGAUAUGCUGAUGUGACGUUCAUAACUUGCAGUCCACAUUUCUCAGUAGGAUUGCUCGGUUUCUGUACAACUUCCUGCAAAAUCUAUAUGUGCACUAUAAAUUCACCAAAAGUUGAACCAAAGAAUUGCACUUUUUCUUUCCUUUCUUGUUUUCUAAAGUGAAAUUUACAUAAACUUCGAGAUUGUCUUUGUUCUUUUG
rnacentral:lncRNA from 1 species